UCCAAUUAAAUUUUAAUUAUGAAAAAUUAUUACAGGAAAAGUGAAAGAAAAAUGGCUCCAUGGCUAUCCAGAUUUAGCCAGACCGCGAGGUUGAGAGCAGUGUCCUCCAGACCACCAAGUCUGGCCAAGGCUUCUUACCCUACUGCAUGGAGUUAGGGUCCAGCUACAGAGUUAGAAGAGCCCCCACAAGACCACUGUCACUUCUGACAGCAGCUGCAGAUUUGGAGAUGGAGUUGGUCAGGGGUGGGUUCCCCAAACACCCUCAGGUUCUCAAGUUUGCUAGAAAACCCCUGGAACUUACUGAAACCUACUUGGAAGUCAUUGUUUAUUACAGGGAAAGGGUACAAACUAAAACCUGUCGAAGAGAUGCAUAGACUAUGGAGGGUUCUAACACAAAGCCUCUGUUGUCCUCAGGACGCCUUACCAUCCUGGCAUUGAUGUGCAUUGGGUAUUGCCAGUCUCAGAAGCUCACUGACGUUUUGGUGUGCAGAUUUUUUGUUGUGGCUGCAGUAUAUCCAUGGUGGUUUUGAAAACCAACAGCCCAUAAUUACUGUGAAAACCAGCAGCCUGGCAGUCACUAGGAGAAGCAGAACAGGGUUGGAUCUUCUUCAACAAUAUAUUCACUGAGAAUUAUCAUUAUGUGACCAAAGUGGUAGUUCACUGAAAGACCCCACUGGACUGAGAACUGGCUCAGUGUGAAAGCCUUUUCCUGAUACCACUUUGCAAAAACGAUCAGAGGGCUGUGUGUAUGUUCAAGGAAGAGCUGAGAAGGCCCUAAAAUGUCACUUCAGCUGACCUUGAGGUUCUGCUCCAGCAAGAAAUGAAGGCUCAGGUGGAAUCGUCAACUUCCUGGCUAUGUUGAAGACCAGUUUUCAAGAAUAUGCAAGACAUAUCCAGAAACAAAGUAUGCCUCAUACACAGAGGGGAAGAAAAGCAAACCGUCCCCAAAGAAUUCCAGACUUUGGAUUUACUCAAUGAAGACAUUAAAUAAACCAUUUUGAGAAUAUGUGCAAAGAACUAAUGGAAACAAUAUUUAAAGAACUAAAAGUCUGAGAAUAAUGCCUCACCAUACAGAGAAUAUCAAUAAUAAAAUAGAAAUUAUAAAGAAGAGACAAAAAGAAAUUAAGGAAUUGAAAAGUUAAAUGAUAGAGUAAAUUCAACAUAAGUGAUCAACAGCAGAUUGAAGCAGGCAGAAGAAAGAUUUGGUGAAACUAAAGAUAGGUCAAUUGAGAUUAACCUAUCUUGGGGGGGUGGGGAAUGAACAACAGAUCCUCAAAGACUCAUGGGAUACCAUCAAGUGUACUGGUGUGAACACAGAGUCUCAUAUGACCUGCCUUUUUAGCUGUAGACCCUUAAAGAAAACAUGUUCCAACAGAAACUUGAUCGUGAAUGUUCAUAGUAGCAUUACUCAUAAUAUCCAAAAAGAAGCCAAAUAUCCAUGCAUUGGUGACUGAAUAAGCAAUAAUGGUAUAUACAUAUGAUGGGAUAUUAUCUAGCCAUAAAAAUGGAUUAUUGGUAUGUAUUAUGACACGAAUAAACUUUGAAAGCAUUAGGUUAAGAAAGAAGCCAAACACAAAAUAUGGUUCAACUUAUAUGAAAUACCCAAAAUAUGAAUCCAUAGAAAUCAAUUAGUAAAUUAGUGAUUGCUAAGGUCUAAGGGAGGGAGGAAUAAUGAAUGCAUGCUAAUAGGUACGGAUGCUAUUUUUUUUGGUGGGGGGGGGUUGAUGAAUGUGAAAUUGGAUGGUGGUGUUGGUGGCAGAACUUUGUAAAUAUACAAAAAUCCACUGAAUUUUGUACUUUGUAA